UACGUAGGAUCCUAGCGUUGUCCGGAUUUACUGGGUGUAAAGGGUGCGCAGGCGGACUUAUAAGUUAGAGGUGAAAUCUCUCGGCUCAACCGGGAAACUGCCUUUAAUACUGUAGGUCUUGAAUCCAAGAGAGAGUUGCGGAAUUCCGAGUGUAGCAGUGAAAUGUGUAGAUAUUCGGAAGAACACCAGUGGCGAAGGCAGCAACUUGGCUUGGUAUUGACGCUCAGGCACGAAAGCAUGGGGAUCAAACAGG
rnacentral:rRNA from 1 species